GAUGAACGCUGGCGGCGUGCUUAACACAUGCAAGUCGAACGGGAAACCUUUUAUUGCAGCUUCGGCAGAUUUAGCUGGUUUCUAGUGGCGGACGGGGGAGUAACGCGUGGGUAACCUGCCUUAUACAGGAGGAUAACAGUCAGAAAUGGCUGCUAAUACCGCAUAAGCGCACAGAGCUGCAUGGCUCAGUGGGAAAAACUCCGGUGGUAUAGGAUGGACCCGCGUUGGAUUAGCUGGCUGGUAGGGUAAUGGCCCACCAAGGGGACGAUCCAUAGCCGGGAGGGGAAGGGGACCGGUCACAUUGGGACUGCGGCACGGACCAGACUCCGACGGGAGGGAGCAGUGGGGAAUACUACGCAAGGGGGGAAACCCUGACGAAGCGGCGUCGCGUGAAGGAAGAAGUAUCUCGGUAUGUAAUCUUCUAUCAGCAGGGAAGAUAAUGACGGUACCUGACUAAGAAGCCCCGGCUAACUACGUG
rnacentral:rRNA from 1 species